UUCAUAGAGAAGUCUGGUCCAGUAGCUGAUGAUGUCAUGAAAGAAGAUAGAAUGUUCCUGGAAACAGCACUGUAACAAUACAGUCAGAGCUGAUCCCAAGGAGGAGGAAAUGGGGAACUAGGGCCCCACACCGGGGCCAUGAAACUUGCUCCAGGUUGAAUUAUGACUUUAAAAAUACGUACAACCCCUGGACCCCGAAGAGGAGAGCCAAAGAGUAGAAAAUGAAAAAGCCAUCUUUUGACCACGAGGGAACUGAAUUGACAACCUGAGGAUGGCAGAGUAGAAGGGCAGAGAGGUAUCCUUGAAGAUGUCAUUGAACUACUGAAGUAACCAGUCCCGGAGUCUCUCUACCUAGCACUGCUCCUUUUAUGAGAAUGAUAUUCCAAGACUGGAGGAUGUUGAUGGAGGUGCUGUGAUACAUGCAGUGAAGGAAAGGAACAUGACGAUGAGAAGGGGAAGUCUUGUGGAGAAGGGCUUCAGAGCUUCCUUAUCAAUGGAGGGGAGGGGAAGUGAUGCCAUGAGGCCUUGCCUGGCUUUCUUGGGAGGCUCCAGCUUGUAAUCAGGUCCUGUGUUGUGAGGAAGCCCAGGCCUCAUCUCAGCAGUCUCAGCUUUUCAACCAAAGAACCAGAAGACAAGAGAUUGGAAUGAGGGUUCUUUCUGGAGGAAGGAGAGGGCAGAGUUAAGUGCAAAGAUCUCACCAUGAACACACGCAGUAUCUCUGAAGUCUCAUUUAUUUCCUU